GGAAGUAAAAGUCGUAACAAGAUCUCCGUUGGUGAACCAGCGGAGGGAUCAUUACAGAGUUGCAAAACUCCCAAACCAUUGUGAACGUUACCUAUCCCGUUGCUUCGGCGGGCGGCCCGGGCCCCGCGCCCGGCGCCCCCCGGCCCCCCGUGGGCGCCCGCCGGAGGUAAACCAAACCCUUGAAUUGCAUGGCCUCUCUGAGUCUUAUGUACUGAAUAAGUCAAAACUUUCAACAACGGAUCUCUUGGUUCUG
rnacentral:misc_RNA from 1 species